AGGACGAACGCUGGCGGCGUGCUUAACACAUGCAAGUCGAGCGGUAAGGCUCCUUCGGGAGUACACGAGCGGCGAACGGGUGAGUAACACGUGAGCAAUCUGCCCUUCACAUCGGAAUAACUUCGGGAAACCGAAGCUAAUACCGGAUACGACCAUCGCGGGCAUCCUCGAUGGUGGAAAGUUCCGGCGGUGAAGGAUGAGCUCGCGGCCUAUCAGCUUGUUGGUGGGGUAAUGGCCCACCAAGGCGACGACGGGUAGCCGGCCUGAGAGGGUGACCGGCCACACUGGGACUGAGACACGGCCCAGACUCCUACGGGAGGCAGCAGUGGGGGAAUAUUGGACAAUGGGCGAAAGCCUGAUGCAGCGACGCCGCGUGAGGGAUGACGGCCUUCGGGUUGUAAACCUCUUUCAGCAGGGACGAAGCGCAAGUGACGGUACCUGCAGAAGAAGCGCCGGCCAACUACGUGCCAGCAGCCGC
rnacentral:rRNA from 1 species